UCCGGAGUCAGCCAGGGUCUGGGCUGUUCCUGCUCUUCUGGGGACCGUCCUUCUAGAAGGAUGCGGAGAGAGGUUCUGCAUGGAUCCACUUGGUGGGACCCCAGUUGCAAACAGCAGGAAGUCGCCUCCCCUUGGUCCCUGGUUUGGUAGAAGCAGCUAGCUCUUUGGGGACUCCAAUAGCUAAGAUGCUUCUGACUGGAUGCCGACAGGAUUGCUACCCGCAGCAGUGCCAAGGAGAGCACUCCAACAGAGCCUGGAGGUCCACGCAGAUGGACGCUCCUCCGACCUACGG